GGGCAGAAGAUACAGCUUUCUGCAAUAUCCUGAGACAUAAACCUCAGGAAUUGCUAAGGCCAAUGGUCAGAGGAGCCAAGAGAGAACCAGUCAUGGCACAUUGUGUGGCCAAUACCAGUCACGGGACCAAACUGGGUCAACGUCUUAGCCAUUGGAGUGAAGAUGGACUAUGUGAUAAGAGAGAUCUGGAAUACAUCUGAAAGUGUCCUUAGUUGUAAGGCUUAAAGAAUCAGUUAUGGACCUUCCAGCUGGUGGCCCAAGAUUAUAGUCCCUUUGAUGAUAAGAUACCUAUAAAAGGAAUACUAGCUGUUUAUUAAAAA
rnacentral:lncRNA from 1 species